rnacentral:tRNA from 1 species
UCCCUGGUGGCUCAGACGGUAAAGUGUCUGUCUGCAAUGCAGGAGACCCGGGUUUGAUCCCUGGGUUGGGAA